rnacentral:rRNA from 1 species
GAUGAACGCUAGCGGCAGGCUUAACACAUGCAAGUCGAGGGGUAUAGUAGCAAUACUAGAGACCGGCGCACGGGUGCGUAACGCGUAUGCAAUCUACCUUUCACAGAGGGAUAGCCCGGAGAAAUUUGGAUUAAUACCUCAUAGUAUAGUAUCUUGGCAUCAAGGAACUAUUAAAGUCACAACGGUGAAAGAUGAGCAUGCGUCCCAUUAGUUAGUUGGUAAGGUAACGGCUUACCAGGACUACGAUGGGUAGGGGUCCUGAGAGGGAGAUCCCCCACACUGGUACUGAGACACGGACCAGACUCCUACGGGAGGCAGCAGUGAGGAAUAUUGGACAAUGGGCGCAAGCCUGAUCCAGCCAUGCCGCGUGCAGGAUGACGGUCCUAUGGAUUGUAAACUGCUUUUGUACAGGAAGAAACACCCCGACGUGUCGGGACUUGACGGUACUGUAAGAAUAAGGAUCGGCUAACUCCGUGCCAGCAGCCGCCGUAA